rnacentral:rRNA from 1 species
AUUGAACGCUGGCGGAAUGCUUUACACAUGCAGGUCGAACGGCAGCACGGACUUCGGUCUGGUGGCGAGUGGCGAACGGGUGAGUAACAUAUCGGAACGUAUCCAAUAAUGGGGGGUAACGAGUCGAAAGAUUCGCUAAUACCGCAUACGCCCUACGGGGGAAAGCUGGGGACCUUCGGGCCUGGCGUUAAUGGAGCGGCCGAUAUCUGAUUAGCUAGUUGGUGAGGUAAAGGCUCACCAAGGCGACGAUCAGUAGCUGGUCUGAGAGGACGACCAGCCAUACUGGAGCUGAGAAACGGUCCACACUCCUUCGGGAGGCAGCAGUGGGGAAUUUUGGACAAUGGGCGCAAGCCUGAUCCAGCCAUUCCGCGUGAGUGAAGAAGGCCUUCGGGUUGUAAAGCUCUUUCGCAAGGGAAGAAAACUUAGCCACUAACAUUGGUUGAGGUUGACGGUACCUUGAUAAGAAGCACCGGCUAACUACGUGCCAGCCGCCGCGGUAA